rnacentral:siRNA from 1 species
AGCCAAGAUGCUCUCAGGGACUCU